AUUGAACGCUGGCGGCAUGCCUUACACAUGCAAGUCGAACGGCAGCACGGGGGCAACCCUGGUGGCGAGUGGCGAACGGGUGAGUAAUGCAUCGGAACGUGCCCAGUAGUGGGGGAUAACCCGGCGAAAGCCGGGCUAAUACCGCAUACGAACUAAGGGUGAAAGCGGGGGACCGUAAGGCCUCGCGCUAUUGGAGCGGCCGAUGUCUGAUUAGCUAGUUGGCGGGGUAAGAGCCCACCAAGGCGACGAUCAGUAGCUGGUCUGAGAGGACGACCAGCCACACUGGGACUGAGACACGGCCCAGACUCCUACGGGAGGCAGCAGUGGGGAAUUUUGGACAAUGGGCGCAAGCCUGAUCCAGCCAUGCCGCGUGCGGGAAGAAGGCCUUCGGGUUGUAAACCGCUUUUGGCAGGAACGAAACGGCGCAAGCCAAUACCUUGCGCUAAUGACGGUACCUGCAGAAUAAGCACCGGCUAACUACGUGCCAGCCGCCGCCGUAACAC
rnacentral:rRNA from 1 species